GGGCGGUCACGCGAUGAACGAAUGACUCGAACUCAAAGACUCCAGAUGGGAACUAAUCAUUUCUGUUUCUGGGGAACAGCCGUGACAAAUGUGACGUGACAAAAAAAAAACGGCUCGGAUCAGGAGAUACGAGUGAUUUUGAAAAUGGUGGUGCUAUAGAAGAACAAGAGGAAUUCAACUCCGAAGACAACAUUCAACUCGACCUCGAAUUACAGGAGAUCUGCACAGCGUGGCAUGAAUUCUUCCGAGUAAAGACUGCUUUAUUGGAAAACUUUGGACAGCUUGAUAAUACAUUUCAAUCUGAUCGAGGUCCAGAAUCUGACUCCAGAAGCACUGGGACACAGUGAUUUUUAUCCCAUUUGGUUGUGCUCAUGGUCGGCUGAGUGGUGGUGGUCCUUGUGAACGUGGUUGUGUUAUUAGUGGAGCUGAUCCUAAAAGCACAAAUAGAAACUGGCCAGCGUACGGUGGAUCUGCGCAUCAUUCUCCUACCGACUGAAUGCGUCUUUGCUGUGUGCUGCCUUGCUUUACAAAUAUCUGCUUUCUGGAAUAAGAACAGAGAAAGAGUUAGAAAAGACAUCGACUGGCUGCAACGGGUGUAAACAGAAACACUGGGUGAGUACGUCACGGUGUAAUAUUAAACACGGAAGAAAAAACUGAUCAACAUCAUUAACUUGUGCGGCUGUUACAUUAAACAUCAUACAAACGGGGGCCCAUGGUGGCUUAGUGGUUAGCACAUUCGCCUCACACCGCCAGGGUUGGGGGUUCAAUUCCCGCUGCUCUGUGUGCGUGGAGUUUGCAUGUUCUCCCCGUGCUGCAAGGGUUUCCUCCGGUACUCCCGUUUCCUCCCCCAGUCCAAAGACAUGUAUGGUAGGCUGAUUGGCAUGUCUAAAGUGUCCGUAGUGUAUGAAUGGGUGUGUGAGUGUGUGUGUGUGUUUGUGUGCCCUGCGAUGGAUUGGCACCCUGUCCAGGGUGUACCCCGCCUUGUGCCCGAUGCUUCCUGGGAUAGGCUCCAGGUUCCCCGUGACCCUGAAAAGGAUAAACGGUAUAGAAGAUGGAUGGAUGGAUCAUACAAACGCAGGGCUCACCUCCACAAUGUGAUGAACGUGAACUUGAGAGUCUGGCUCUUGCCCUCAGGGUCUUAGCAGGUAAGAAGAAAAAAAACAACAACACAAGAUUGUUCCAGGUGUUAUUACUGAAAUAUUAAAUGAAAAGUUUAAGUUAAUCAUCAAUAAGUGUGUGCGCAUCUAGAAAAGCAGAACAUACAGCGGUUUGGUGUUGUGGAGCACUUGGGUGUAUCUGUACAUCAUUUUGAGAAGAAAGGACAUCAGCCAUGAACUGAGUAGACUGGACACACUCGUCUGAUCACCUCAAGGAUUGUUUUAAAGAUGCUUGUAAUCUGUUCUAUUUUUUUUUUUUUUUUUUUUUUACGAUCUUUUGUGUGACACUUAAAUGUGAAUUUCUUUUCUUCAUGUUUGAGCCUCCUGUAGAAUAGUUUUUAUUAUCUAAUUGCUAGAUAUAAUGACUGGAUUUAUUCAAUUAUUAUUUUUGUUUAGUUCUUUUGCAUUUCAAGAGUUAAGACUGAUUGCAGCAAGGGGAAACAUGGUGUGCUGUAUGUUAAAACAGUGAGAAUUCUUUUUCUUUCUUUCUUUCUUUUUACAAGUAAAAAUGUAAAAAUAAAAUCUGUAAAGUUCUGUAAUAUAUUCAGCCAGGUGAAUGUGGUGCUUCCAGGCUUAUUAUAAUAUCAGUGUCAUUAUAAUAUACUGUGCUUGAUGUUGGGCAACUUAAAUUAAACACUAAUCAUGAAAUCAUGUAGUCAUGGAGUUUGAGGACACAGCUUAGUGAUGUAAAGCAGAGGGAUUAUUUCACAGGCUUCUCUCCGAUAAAUAAAAAGUACAGCAAUAAUAAUAAUAAAUAUAAAACAAUGUCCCUCAAAAAUAAAUAAAU